AAACUUCUCGCCCGCUCCUUCCCCUUGUCGCCGGUUCCCUCCACCGACGAGUCGUGGGGCAGAAUGAAUGGAGGUGGGGCCAGCCGAGCGCUUCUGCAGCUGUCAAACGGGAAAGAGAACCCGCGCUUAGAUACGUCUUUUUCCCUCCCUAUUAUUUGAAAGUCCAGCCCUGUCUUCUUUAGAAGUAGGUGAGACCGCUUUCCGACAGCCUUGGACAAGCUGUUUGUCGUGUGCGGCUCUGCCACCGCUCUGAAUCGGCUCCUCAGCCCUGUGUGUGCUCCCAGUUAAAAAGGGAAGGAAAAAAUGAAACGACCCGUAUGAGCGAGAAAAAAAAGAGUAACGUGACAUUUCAAAAUUACUUCUGGCCGGUCCCCGUUUUAAUCGUAUACAUCCUUCCAGCUCAGAUACCUUGCUUAGGACUGGUUUUUACAAGACUGAAUUUCAAGGAUGAACUCAAGUCUUUCUGCUGCUGUUUAAAAAAAGCCUCGGUGGCUUCCCAGCACCCUUGCUGCCAUCCCCACACGCUGAACGCACUAGAAGUAGCCUGAAGUGAUGUUAUAAUUGGGACAGAUUUACUCUUGGAAAACUUGUGUGUUACAGUCUGUAGCAAGCGUGUCCACCUGCUAAGAGCUACUGUAUUGCCAAGCGCAGAAGUAGAGACAAGUUUUUUGCAAGUCUUUUGUUUAAAAAGUGCUAAAAUUACAGGAGAAAUGUGGCCUUUUGGUUAAUAACUCACUCCACAUAAUCAACUGUGCAAGGAGGUAUUCUGACUGGAGUGGACAGAUAACUCCCUUUGCAGUUUGGAGAACAAGGCAUUUUUCUUAACAAGUAAUUUUCUUAACAAUAUUUACUGCUCGGCAGGUUUGGGAGCUGUCGCCCUGCGCUGGCACUGGUUAGCUCACAGGAGGGGCAGCCGCGUCCCCUGCCCCUGUGCCCAGGGCACGUUGUUAGCAGUGGCUGCGUUAGCGCCUGUCAGGCAGGGGGCCGCAGCCCUGCCCGAGUCUCGGGGUUGCCGGGUUUCGGUGGAAAUGAUGAAGCCCCGGCGUGUUGUUGGGAGCGUUCGCAAGCGCUGAAGGGAAGCACCUUCCCCUUAUUAUUCCUGGAUAUAUCCAUGCAGAUUUCUUACUGAGGCAGAGAAAACAGCUUUUUCCCUGGGGGUGCAGAGCGACUGGAGCCCAGGUCCUUCCAAGGAUGGUGUUCACCAUCCGCCUUGUCGGGCUCCUGACCCCAUGGCUGAAGCAUCGCCUGUAGUUUCUGCUCCCAGCCCUCACCCACCCUCACUCCUCCUGUCCUGAUGUCCCUUCUUUAAGCCUCGCAAGGAGGGAUGCCGGUAGUGAAGUUUUGGAGCAUGGUCCUGUCGCCCUAUCACCCCUCCCCAUGGUUUCUCCCCAGUCCCAGGGCUGAAGCGCUGAGCAGCUGGACACUCAUUCCUGGGGCUGGAGGGUGGCAGAGCCCCUGUGACUGCUGCUCGGGUGCUGCCUAGCUAUCCCCCUGCCCCGAGGGGUGGCAGCAGCCAGAGAGGGCCUGCAAUGGGGAGGGAUGUGAUGCAGCACUGGGGUUUGACCACCCCGUGCUCCUGAGCCCUGAGCAGGCAUCCUGCCCCCAAAGUAUCUCCCUGCGGCACUGUUCAAACCCAGCGUUCUCUUGCUUGAUUUUUCUAGCGGGGCGUAUUGGAGACAAGAUCUGGUGAGAUCUGGAGGGUGGUUGAUGUGGAUUAGACCACCAUCAAUGGGAGCAAGCCGUCCUCCCUCGAGGCUGCCCAUCUACGUGCCGUUCCUUAUUGUUGGAUCUGUAUUUGUCGCCUUCAUCAUCUUGGGGUCACUGGUGGCGGCUUGCUGCUGCAGAUGCCUGCGGCCCAAGCAGGAGCCCCAGCAGAGCCGAGCCCCCGGGGGCACCCGCCUGAUGGAGACUAUCCCCAUGAUCCCAAGUGCCAGCACCUCCCGGGGCUCCUCCUCCCGCCAGUCGAGCACCGCCGCCAGCUCCAGCUCCAGCGCCAACUCGGGGGCCAGAGCCCCCCCAACCAGGUCCCAGACCAACUGCUGUUUGCCAGAAGGGACCAUGAAUAACGUCUAUGUCAACAUGCCGACGAACUUCUCGGUGCUGAACUGCCAGCAGGCUACCCAGAUCGUGCCGCACCAGGGGCAGUACCUGCACCCCCAGUAUGUGGGCUACGCUGUGCAGCAUGACUCGAUGCCGCUGACCCCGGUGCCCCCUUUCCUCGACGGUUUGCAGAGCGGCUACAGGCAGAUCCAGUCUCCCUACCCCCACACCAACAGCGAACAGAAGAUGUACCCAGCUGUGACUGUGUAGUGCUGACACCUUCCUCCCCCUCCCCACCCGGCAGAUUUUAAUAUCUAAACUGAAUGGAGGAGAAAUACUUCCUCGGAGCGAAGCUCCCAGAACAUCACUUGUAAAUAAUUUUGAAAGGCUCAUGCAUGUCAGACAGUGUUUAUAAACCAUUUAUUUUCAUCAGGGUCCGUUGCCAGAAACUGUAGGAUGAUAUCUCUGAAUUAACGUUGCCAGAUACGCUCUCAUUCCAGUGCAUGAUUUACAGCGGCGAAGGAUUACGCUGAAAAUGCAUAUGUAUUUCAGAUCACUGUACUUGCGAGAUAAAUGCCGGAGCCAUUAAGUGCCCUUCAGACAAUCACAACCGAGAGCCGAACAGUGCAAUCCCUGCGUGCCGGAUGCUGGUACCAGCCUCCAUGGUUACUUACGCACCCCUGGUUUGGGGUGAAAUGCCACGAAAGGCUUAGUCUUGCAAAGACCAAUUUUCUUUGUCCCUGGUAUUUAUGUAGGAAUUGGAAGAGCGUGAAUUAUUUCGCUCUUCCUUCCAGUGCACUUGAAACCCUUCUUGAUUUGGUUUUGCCUCAAGAUCAGGACCCAGUAGUGGUUUGCACAGACUUUAUCUUUGUGAACUUUUUACUAAAAACAGGGUACGAGGUGCUUGCUCUUCCUGACGCUCAGCAAAGCUUUUGGUACAGCUAGCAGCGUCUGAGCUGAAACCACCUUUGCAGAGAAAGGUCGUACUGUGACUCCAAACACGCCUGAUUUAACCUCACUUCCCAUGAAACAGUAAACCCGUGUGAAUGCGCACAAAGUUGUCAGCCCCAAACCCUGCUCGCAAUCGAGUCUGACCGUAGGAAAAUGGGCUUUGUCCCCUUGCCAGCCCACUCUGAAUCCCCAGCCUGACUCCAUGGGGGGGUGGGGGCGGGGGUAUUGGGUGUCACACAAAGCCGCCCCAACCUGCAUGCGGAGGGACUGGCAGAGGUUUGAAACCCAUCCCCUUUUCUUCUUUACCCGUGGGGCAGGGGACUAGGAGGGCACAGCUGUAUUUAAAAAUAAGGAAAAAGGCCCAACCGAAGGUGCUUGCAGCGCCCCGUGAUGCCCCGGGGGUCAGGGAGGAGGCGUGAUGCCGGGGGGGGGGACGGGACACACUUUGCACUGGAGCUGCUGGCUCUGUCUUGCUUUGCUUCGUCUGGGGAAAAAAUACCUCUCCAGGUUGAAGAGGCAACGGUGUGCUGGGAAUAAUCAGACCAUGCUAAUUGUAAUAUAUCACCCCAGAUGAACAAACUAUUUAAGGUCUCUUAAAAAAAUGUAGUCUUUGCGUUUCCACCCAUUUGUUCUUCAGCCAAAGCACCGCAACAGAGGACUGAGGGCAUAUACCAAAACCGGGCAAUUACUGUAACCAGACCAGAGCUGAUAAAAGGUUUCUUAUUGUCUGAUACUGUAUCAGUAUGUAGCAAUAACUGUGAUACUACUAUUUUUUGUAUGUCUUUUUUUUUAAAUUACGCAUACGUGCGGAAACAUUGCCAAAUCCAAUGGUUUACCUGUAAACAUGCCACACACAGGCAGUCUGCAGUGGGCAGAAAUGGUUUGACCACUGACACAGGAAAAUGAAUAGGUAAUUUAUCCCAGGUCUGCUGUUCCUGGCUGCGAUCGCCCAUUCAGCGCGUAGGACCUGGACAGAAAGAUUGGCUUAUGAGACCCGGCUUCCCCUCCAGCCAGGCUGGGCGGCUUUGGCAAGGCAGGGACUG